ensembl:rRNA 5S_rRNA 5S ribosomal RNA
GUCUACAGCCAUACCACCCUGAACGUGUUCAAUCUCAUCUGAUCUUGAAAGCUAAGCAGGGUCGGGCCUGGUUAGUACUUGGAUGGGAGAAAGAUCUUCAGAGGAGACUGCUCAGAGAUAAGCAGUUUGGAGACA